UGUCUCCAAAAAGCAAAGGUUUUCUCUCC
rnacentral:piRNA from 1 species